UACGUAGGGUGCGAGCGUUAAUCGGAAUUACUGGGCGUAAAGCGUGCGCAGGCGGUUCGUUGUGUCUGUGGUGAAAGCCCCGGGCUUAACCUGGGAAUGGCCAUGGAAACUGGCGAGCUGGAGUGUGGCAGAGGGGGGUGGGAAUUCCGCGUGUAGCAGUGAAAUGCGUAGAGAUCGGAAAGAACACCAACGGCGAAAGCACUCUGCUGGGCCGACACUGACACUGAGAGACGAAAGCUAGGGGAGCGAAUGGG
rnacentral:rRNA from 1 species